rnacentral:rRNA from 1 species
GACGAACGCUGGCGGCGUGCCUAACACAUGCAAGUCGAACGGAAACACCGUGCGUGUGUGCGGUUCUCGGGGGGCGGACGGGUGAGUAACACGUGAGUAACCUACCCUUCACUUUGGGGGGAGUUCAGGAAAGGGGAGCUAAUACAGGACAGGAUAUCCCGCUGCAGGGUGGGCGUGGGAUAGUUUCGGCGGUUGGGGAUGGAUGCGCGGCUUAUGGGCUAGUUGGUUGGGUAGUGGCAUACCAAGGCAUUGACGGGUAGCCGGCCGGGGAGGGUGGACGGCCACCUUGGUACUGAGAUACGGCGCAGACUCGAACGGGAGGCAGCGGUGGGGAACAUUACACAAUGGGAGGGAGUCUGAUGAGACAACGCCGCGUGCGGGAAGACGUCUUGUUGGUAGUAAACCGCAGCCGCUUGAGACGACGCGUUAGUGACGGUACCGGGAGAAUAAGCACCGGCUAACUACGUG